AGUGAACGCUGGCGGUAGGCCUAACACAUGCAAGUCGAACGGCAGCACAGUAAGAGCUUGCUCUUACGGGUGGCGAGUGGCGGACGGGUGAGGAAUACAUCGGAAUCUACUUUUUCGUGGGGGAUAACGUAGGGAAACUUACGCUAAUACCGCAUACGACCUACGGGUGAAAGCAGGGGAUCUUCGGACCUUGCGCGAUUGAAUGAGCCGAUGUCGGAUUAGAUAGUUGGCGGGGUAAAGGCCCACCAAGGCGACGAUCCGUAGCUGGUCUGAGAGGAUGAUCAGCCACACUGGAACUGAGACACGGUCCAGACGCCUACGGGAGGCAGCAGUGGGGAAUAUUGGACAAUGGGCGCAAGCCUGAUCCAGCCAUACCGCGUGGGUGAAGAAGGCCUUCGGGUUGUAAAGCCCUUUUGUUGGGAAAGAAAAGCAGCAGGUUAAUACCCCGCUGUUCUGACGGUACCCAAAGAAUAAGCACCGGCUAACUUCGUG
rnacentral:rRNA from 1 species